AUGGGUGAUUGUCUUUUCUCCGUUCUUAUUGAUGAGUGCCGUGAUAUAUCGGUGAAAGAACAAAUGGCCGUGGUUAUUAGGUACUUGAGCAAACAAGGAGAGACUAUUGAACGUUUUUUAGGUAUUAAGCAUGUCCCGGACACAACAUCUGCUUCUUUAAAGAAGGCAUUGUUGGAGGUUUUUGCUAAACACGGUCUAGUUGUUGCACGACUACGAGGGCAAGGGUAUGAUGGGGCAUCUAAUAUGAGAGGAGAAUUCAAUGGCCUUCAGAAGUUAAUUCGAGAUGAGAACCCAUAUGCUUUCUAUAUCCAUUGCUUUGCCCACCAACUGCAGUUGGUAGUUGUUGCUGUUUCGAGAUGCUGCAAGGGUGUUGAGGAUUUUUUUGAAUAUGUGACCAUGAUAUCUAAUCUCAGUACGUCAUCUUGCAAGAGGAAGGAUAAAUUGCUUGACAAGCAAAAACAGGUUCUUUUGGAUAAGAUUAGGGGAGGUGAGAUGCCCACAGGAAGAGGCAAAAAUCAAGAAACAUCCUUGGUCAGACCUGGAGAUACAAGAUGGGGCUCUCAUUACACAACCUUAUCUCGCAUUGAAUCAAUGUGGGAUGCAGUCAUAGAAGUUUUGGGCAUUGUUGAGGAUGAUGUGCGUGUUCCAUGUAGAGCAGGAGGUUUGGUUCAUCAAAUGGAGACUUUUAGCUUUGUGUUCAUCCUGAAGAUGAUGCUAAAGAUCCUUCGUAUGACAAAUGAUUUGUCUCUUCUAUUGCAAAAGAAGGAUCAAAAUGUUGUUCAGGUCGAUCAUGUUAUAUGUAUCUACUCUGCUUGA
rnacentral:rRNA from 1 species